rnacentral:rRNA from 1 species
UGUUCGUCCAUUAAAGCGGUACGUGAGCUGGGUUCAGUACGUCGUGAGACAGUACGGUCUCUAUCUGCUGCGCGCGUUGGGAACUUGAGGGGAGCUGGCCACAGUACGAGAGGACCUGGCUGGACGAACCUCCCGUAUACCAGCUGUCCUGCCAAGGGCAUAAGCUGGGUAGCGGAUGUUCGGAAGGGAUAAGCGCUGAAAGCAUCUAAGUGCGAAACCCACCCCAAGAUAAGGUUCCCCAUCCUUUAAGGAGUAAGGACCCUCCAAGACUAGGAGGUUGAUAGGGCGGAGGUGUAAGCAGGGUAACCUGUUGAGCCAACCGCUACUAAUCGUCCGAGGACCUGGCCUU